rnacentral:misc_RNA from 1 species
UUUCCGUAGGUGAACCUGCGGAAGGAUCAUUAAAGAACGCCCCGUUUUUUGAAAUGGGUAAUUCUAAACCGUGUAUACAUACCUUUGUUGCUUUGGCAGGCCGCCCCUCAGGGCGUCGGCUCCGGCUGACUGCGCCUGCCAGAGGACCCAAACUCUUUUGUUUAGUGAUGUCUGAGUACCAUAUAGUAGUUAAAACUUUCAACAACGGAUCUCUUGGUUCUG